GACGAACGCUGGCGGCGUGCUUAACACGUGCAAGUCGAACGGAAAGGCCCUGCUUUUGUGGGGUGCUCGCGUGGCGCACGGGUGAGUAACACGUGAGUAACCUGCCCUUUACUUUGUGAUAACUUCAGGAAACUGGGGCUAAUACCGGAUAGGAGCUCCUGCUGCAUGGUGGGGUUUGGAAAGUUUCGGCGGUUGGGGAUGGACUCGCGGCUUAUCAGCUUGUUGGUGGGGUAGCGGCUUACCAAGGCAUUGACGGGUAGCCGGCCGGAGAGGUGGACCGGGCACAUGGGGACUGAGGUAGGGCCCAGACUCCUAUGGGAGGCAGCAGUGGGGAAUAUUGCACAAUGGGCGGAAGUGUGAUGAGGCAACGCCGCGUGCGGGAUGACGGCCUUGGGGUUGUAAACCGCUUUCGCCUGUGACGAAGCGUGAGUGACGGUAAUGGGUAAAGAAGCACCGGCUAACUACGUG
rnacentral:rRNA from 1 species